UCUAACAAGAACUAAUAUAUUGAUGUUUUAACAUAUUGAAUAAAAGAUGAAUGAAUGAGUUGAAUGAAAGUAUAUGCAGAGGAAGUGAUUAAAAUUAAUAACACACAUAUUAAAAUAUAAACCUUUAUUAGUAAAGCAUAUUUGGUAAAUGUCAAAUAGAAUAAAGCAUUUAAAACAGUAUAUAAACUUCAUAGUUUUCUAUACAUUUAAAAGUACAUGAGUACAGAGAUCUGAUACUAAGAUAGACAUUUUAUUGAGUACAUUGUGUUUUGAUUAAUGUAAGAAUAAUGUCCAGGUCAGUGGACUUAUGAAUGUUAUAUUUAUUUUAUUCAGAUUAUGAUAUUGAAUUGGUUUUGAUAGAAAUCAAGUAGAUGGUUCCACGCAUGACCCAUAUACCACAUAUAUGGGUUUAAUAAUAUGCAGUCAGUGUUAAUAAAACCACUAUAAAGAACCCUA